GUGGGAUAGGAAGGGCAGGAGCUCGGUUGGCUCUGAAGCACGGUCUAGCGUUUUCCACUGGUUGCACUGAGUGCGCACUGCUCGAACAGGGGGCACUCGUUCCGUGCAUACGUCGCCCGGCAUCGGGGCAAACCUGAGUGGAACACGCCGUAAAACGUAUAAAGGCAGACUGGAUCAUAAUUUCUUCUAAAUCAGAAAUAAUGUGACGUUACUUGACCGACUGCGCGACUGGCAGUUUUUCAAGUAUCACCCGAGGUGGUUAGCGGUGGUCGUUGGAGGAGGUUGGCGGUGGUUGGCGGUGGUCGGAGGUGGUUAGGGGUGGUUGCGGGUGAUCGAAGUGGACGAGGAGGAGGAGGACGAGGAAGCCGAGGAGAACGGGGAUUUCUGCAUGGCGAGCGAAACACAUUUAUAUAUUUGAUAGCAAUUGUAUCACCCGAGGUGGUCGGAGGUGGACGAGGAG